rnacentral:sRNA from 1 species
AAAAUCGGUAGGUAAGGCUACUAUAGGGAUAUGGGUUGUUGCCGCGAAGUAAUGGAGACAUUAUAAGCUGGAUAGCAGUCAAUAUCGACUCUAAGGUAUUGAUUAAUACAAUGAACACGCCCUAUAAUGCUAAAGCUCAAACGUUGGUUGU